GUCAACUUCCGAAACUGCAACAGUUAUUAAUGAAUUCAGAGCCCGUCACCUCUCUGAGCUCACUGAGAUAUGUGAGGCAAGAGGUGGAUUGCUGGGUUAUGGAUUCUCAAGAGUCAUGUCCAAGACGAAAUCUCUGAAUUCUUCUGAUUCGGAUGAUGAUGAAUUUGUUGAAGGUACACUGGCAAUUUGAUCAAACAAGUAGAGUAGAUAAAAAGAACUCUUUUUUAUUAUUAUUAUUAUUAUUUUUUUUUUAGCAUAAUUUUGAAACCUGUACAGCUAGUUCAGAUACAUUUGUAUAGUGAAAUGAACAGCUCACAUGGAAACAUACGUUUCUUAGUAGAGUAAAUGAGGCUUUGCUGGCUCAAA